AAUGCAUGAUGCGGGCAUUUUGUAAGCAUUUCCUUAAAUCUUUCCCAACUCUCAGAAAUGGAUUCUUCUACAAACUGAGUAAAAUGUUAUGUCAUUUCUAAAGUU